ensembl:lncRNA LINC01968 long intergenic non-protein coding RNA 1968
UGGUCCACGGUGACCCCAAGGAGGACAUGAUCCCCCUUGUCUGGGAGAACAAGAGUAGAUGGUUCGGUGUAUGCAAAUAUCACAGUUCCAGGUAACUUGAAGGAGCAGUUUGGAUUUAGAUGCAGUCUGACCUGAGCCAUGAAGAAGUGCAGAGUCCCCAAGAGGCCAGAGAGCUCACGUCUGGUUAGAGUCGGGGUGUUUGAUGGGAAGAUGAAAGGAGGAGCUGGCAUCUGAGGAAAUCAACAUUCAAGGGGAGACCCAAUGAAGAAGAUAGUGCCAGAACUUAAUGGAGGCAGCCCAAGAGGAACGUGUACCUGGGGAAGUCAAGAGCUAUUUCUUGGACAUUUGUGCCUCUAUUCCAAACUCUUCUCUCAGAGUAGAUGACAACUCAGGAAGGAGCCAGAGAUCUUCCUCAGUUGACUUGUUCAGAAA